UACGUAGGUGGCAAGCGUUGUCCGGAUUUACUGGGCGUAAAGGGCGCGUAGGCGGUCAGCACAAGUCAGUUGUGAAAUCUCCGGGCUUAACUCGGAAAGGUCAACUGAUACUGUGCGACUAGAGUGCGGAAGGGGCAACUGGAAUUCUCGGUGUAGCGGUGAAAUGCGUAGAUAUCGAGAGGAACACCUGCGGCGAAGGCGGGUUGCUGGGCCGACACUGACGCUGAUGCGCGAAAGCCAGGGGAGCGAACGGG
rnacentral:rRNA from 1 species